rnacentral:tRNA from 1 species
ACAACAGUGAUGGAAUGGUAGACAUAGUACACUUAAGAUGUACAAGCAUAGCUGUGUGGGUUCAAGUCCCACCUGUUGUA